GGAGCUUGCUUUAUAUAACUUAGCAGCGAACGGGUGAGUAACACGUAGAUAAUCUAUCCUAUACUGGGGGAUAGCCCGAUGAAAGUUGGAUUAAUACCGCAUAUAGCUAUAUAGUUGCAUGAUUAUGUAGUGAAAGAUUUAUUGGUAUAGGAGGAGUCUGCGGCACAUUAGCUAGUAGGUGAGGUAAAGGCUUACCUAGGCGACGAUGUGUAGCCGGUCUGAGAGGAUGAACGGCCACAAUGGAACUGAGACACGGUCCAUACUCCUACGGGAGGCAGCAGUGGGGAAUAUUGCACAAUGGGGGAAACCCUGAUGCAGCAACGCCGCGUGAGUGAAGAAGGUUUUCGGAUUGUAAAGCUCUGUUAGCAGGGAAGAGGAAGGACGGUACCUGCAGAGGAAGCCACGGCUAACUACGUGCCAGCAGCCGCGGUAAUACGUAGGUGGCAAGCGUUGUUCGGAAUAACUGGGCGUAAAGGAUGCGUAGGCGGUUAAACAAGUUAUAUGUUAAAUAUAUAGGCUUAACCUGUAGAAAGCAUAUAAAACUGUUUAACUAGAGUGCAGGAGAGGUAAGUGGAAUUCCUAGUGUAGCGGUGAAAUGCGUAGAGAUUAGGAAGAACACCAGUGGCGAAGGCGACUUACUGGACUGUAACUGACGCUGAGGCAUGAGAGCAUGGGGAGCAAACAGGAUUAGAUACCCUGGUAGUCCAUGCUGUAAACGAUGGGUACUAGGUGUGGGUUGUGAAUAACAAUUCGUGCCGUCGCAAACGCAAUAAGUACCCCGCCUGAGGAGUACGAUCGCAAGAUUAAAACUCAAAGGAAU
rnacentral:rRNA from 1 species